GGCACUAUAGUGUAGUGGUUAUCACUCGGGAUUUUGAAGCAUCAGCUUGUCUUCCCGAAACCCAGGUUCGAACCCUGGUAGCGCCU